UUGAUAUGUCGUAUGAAUCGCAAGAGAGCAUGCAAGACAUGGAACAACUGAACUCAAGGGCUGCCUUUGAUGGCUAUUUUGGCACUCAACAAAUCGUGCAGGGAAUGGGACAAUUAAACUCAAUAGUUCCAAGUCGCGAUGAAUAUUACAGCAACCAACAUAACAUGCAAGGGCUGGGACAACUGAACUCAAUUGCACCUAUCCAUGAUGGCCAUUACCU